rnacentral:rRNA from 1 species
AUUGAACGCUGGCGGCAUGCCUUACACAUGCAAGUCGAACGGCAGCACGGGGCAACCUGGUGGCGAGUGGCGAACGGGUGAGUAAUGCAUCGGAACGUGCCAUUGAGUGGGGGAUAACGUAGCGAAAGUUGCGCUAAUACCGCAUAUUCUGUGAGCAGGAAAGCAGGGGACCGCAAGGCCUUGCGCUCUUUGAGCGGCCGAUGUCAGAUUAGCUAGUUGGUGAGGUAACGGCUUACCAAGGCGACGAUCUGCAGCGGGUCUGAGAGGAUGAUCCGCCACACUGGAACUGAGACACGGUCCAGACUCCUACGGGAGGCAGCAGUGGGGAAUUUUGGACAAUGGGCGCAAGCCUGAUCCAGCCAUGCCGCGUGAGUGAAGAAGGCCUCGG